rnacentral:ncRNA from 1 species
AAAUAAAUUUUUAUAGUUUAAAAAGUUUAUUGAAAAUUUAUUUUACAUAUAAAUUUUUGUAUUAAAAUUAAUUUAUUUUAAUAAUAAAUUAAUUAUUUAAGUAGUAAUUAAUAUUAAAUAAUUUAAGAAAUUAAGAUUUAGUAAUAUUUAAAAUUAAUAACAAAUUUUGUGCCAGCAGUUGCGGUUACACAAAAAUUAAAUUAAAUUUUAUUGAUUAAUUAAUAAAUAAUUUUAAUUUAUAUAAUUGAAAUUUUAAAUUAUUAAGUGAAAUUUUAAUUUAAUAAAAUUUUAUUUUUUAAUUAUUAUUUAAUAAAUUUUUUUAAGAAACUAGGAUUAGAUACCCUAUUAUUAAAAUUUUAAAUUUAAAUAUCAAAAUAGUAAAUAAUUAUUUAUUGAAACUUAAAUAACUUGGCGGUAUUUUAGUUCAUUUAGAGGAAUCUGUUUAAUAAUUGAUAUUCCACGAAUAAAUUUACUUAAUUUAUAAUUUUGUAUAUCGUUGUUAAAAAAAUAUUUUUUAAUAAUAAAUAAUAUUUAAAAAUUUUUAUAUAAAAUUAUAUCAGAUCAAGAUGCAGAUUAUAAUUAAGAAUAUAAUGGAUUACAAUAAAUUUAUUUAAAUGAAUAUUAAUUUGGAAAAAUUAAUUGAAGGUGGAUUUAAAUGUAAUUUUAUUUAAUUUAAUAAAAUGAUUUAAAAUUAAAAUAUGUACAUAUUGCCCGUCGCUUUCAUAUAUUAAAAUUGAAAUAAGUCGUAACAAAGUAGAGGUACUGGAAAGUGUUUCUAGAAAGAA